rnacentral:rRNA from 1 species
UACAGAGGUCCCAAGCGUUGUUCGGAUUCACUGGGCGUAAAGGGUGCGUAGGCGGGUUCUUAAGUCAGAGGUGAAAUCCUGGAGCUCAACUCCAGAACUGCCUUUGAUACUGAGAGUCUUGAGUUCGGGAGAGGUGAGUGGAACUGCGAGUGUAGAGGUGAAAUUCGUAGAUAUUCGCAAGAACACCAGUGGCGAAGGCGGCUCACUGGCCCGAUACUGACGCUGAGGCACGAAAGCGUGGGGAGCAAACAGG